UACGGCCAGAUUAUGUUCAAACACCAGUUCCCAUAUGAUCACCGAAGUUAAGCAACGUCGAGCCUCGUCAAUACCUAGAUGAGUGACCGAUUGGGAAUACCAAGUGCUGUAAG